GCUCCUUUCUUUUUUUUUUUUUCCUCAUCUAUUUUUCUCAUAUAUUUACUCAAUCCAAAAAUAAUGGCCAAGGCCCUCUUCUCUUUAUUGUGCAAAGGUAGUCUCUACAUGUCUUUUGGUCCCUCUUUCCCCUUUUUCCAAUUAUUUUUUCCUACCAUUUCUGUAUGCCAUUUCUGGCAUCUUCUUUUGGAUGCUUUUGUUUUCUAGAUCUUUUUAAGAGAAAUGUAGAGAAGAUUAAGAAGAAUGCACCAAUUUAAAUAAUUAAUAUGAAUUAGGAAUAAAGGUCAAUUUGCCUCUUGCUUUGUAAUCAGGUGCGCCUCAAGCACAAGGCACAUGGGCCUCCAGGUGUAGUGCCUCAUCCAGGGAAAGGCGAGCGACCUCACCCAAGCGUAGGGAGGAACCAAAUGCACCUAGGUAUCCUCGAGAGACGUCAGGCCAAGGCUUUUAAAAAUCGGC
rnacentral:misc_RNA from 1 species